rnacentral:rRNA from 1 species
GACGGAGGAUGCAAGCGUUAUCCGGAAUUAUUGGGCGUAAAGCGUACGCAGGUGGCUAAUCAAGUCUUUUGUCAAAGACCGGGGCUUAACUCUGGGAAGGCAGGGGAAACUGAUUGGCUAGAGGAUGGUAGGGGCAGGAGGAAUUCCCGGUGUAGCGGUGAAAUGCGUAGAUAUCGGGAAGAACACCAGUGGCGAAAGCGUUCUGCUAGACCAUAACUGACACUCAUGUACGAAAGCUAGGGGAGCGAAUGGGAUUAGAUACCCCCGUAGUCC